rnacentral:rRNA from 1 species
AACGUGGGUGGUUCGCCGUCGGCGACGUCGCGAGAAGUCCAUUGAACCUUAUCAUUUAGAGGAAGGAGAAGUCGUAACAAGGUUUCCGUAGGUGAACCUGCGGAAGGAUCAUUG